rnacentral:lncRNA from 10 species
AUAACUCGCAGCUCUCCUGGAAGUGAAUCACGAGCUUUCCUGGGUGGAGGUAGCUGGAAGAGGCACCGAACCCCACCGAUAAGACCACAGGGCAGGGCAGGGGCACCAGAAAAGACCCUCCCCGCUCUCUUGGAUGUAAGGCCGGGCCAGGUUUUGGUUGAAGGUCACAUUGCUCCUGGGUCAGAGAACUAUAACAUCAAAGCGCCUUUAUGACUGGAAACUGUGGACACUCAAGUCCUAAGGCAGUGGUUCUCAGUGUGGUCCCUGGGCCAGCAGUGUCUGCAACAUCUGUUAAUUCAUUAGAAAUGCACAUUCUUACAUCCCACUCCAGACUUACUAAAUCAAACAUUCUGGGGGUGGGGCCCAAUCUGUUUUAACAAGCCCUCCAGGGGAUUCCGUUGCUCACUAAAGUUUGAGAACUACUGUCGCUAGCUGAUAGCAGAGCCACAAGAGAGAACUCUGAGUUCCUGAAUCACCACAUAGAAGACAGCCAUAUACCACCCAGAAAGAUCUGCAUCAGACUUUUCUAUAAAAUAGAAAUAAAAUUUGGUUGUGUUAAGA